rnacentral:rRNA from 1 species
CACGUAGGGCGCAAGCGUUGUCCGGAAUUAUUGGGCGUAAAGAGCUUGUAGGCGGUUUGUCGCGUCUGCUGUGAAAUUUCGGGGCUCAACCCCGAACUUGCAGUGGGUACGGGCAGACUAGAGUGUGGUAGGGGAGACUGGAAUUCCUGGUGUAGCGGUGAAAUGCGUAGAUAUCUGGAGGAACACCGGUGGCGAAGGCGGCAUCCUGGACCAACACUGACGCUGAGUGAGCGAAAGCCAGGGGAGCAAACGGGG